rnacentral:rRNA from 1 species
CACGUAGGGUGCGAGCGUUGUCCGGAAUUAUUGGGCGUAAAGAGCUCGUAGGCGGUGUGUCGCGUCGGCCGUGAAAACCUGCAGCUUAACUGUGGGCUUGCGGUCGAUACGGGCAUCACUGGAGUUCGGCAGGGGAGACUGGAAUUCCUGGUGUAGCGGUGAAAUGCGCAGAUAUCAGGAGGAACACCGGUGGCGAAGGCGGGUCUCUGGGCCGAUACUGACGCUGAGGAGCGAAAGCGUGGGGAGCAGACAGG